UUUGUACUGGUGAAGUUAUAUUUACAACACUGUACCAGAAUAGUACAACACAAAUAGAGUGGGUGCUGUGCAUUUUAAAGAGGACUGUUUCCUGAACCUGGGAGAGUAGCCUACAAUGCCUGCUGUACACAAAGGGUUAAGGCUAUAAAGUGGGGCAAUUCCAACUUUGCAAGGACAGUCUGGCACUUCUGACUCACAAACUGUUUACUGAAGAAGCCUGGUGCAGCCAAAAGCGCAGCAUCGACAGCUAUGCAGGAAGCCACACUGGACUCCUAUUUUGUGUCUGAAAACAAGGCCCUCAAAUUCAAUCCAUGUUGAGAAGAUUAAGAGGCUCUUCAGUGGCAUUCCUGCUCCAUAUGGCUACAAGGUGCCUGCCUCUCUUUGGUCUGAAAGGGGCUUGAAACGUCGUGCCAAGGGAGUGGAGUACCUGUCUCUAGGAGAUAAAGGGAAUGCUGUCUAUUUUCAGUUCAACAUACAUCAGUGGACAAGUCUUCUGAUAUGAAGAAGGAUCUAUUCUAAAGCAUUCUGGUACAGAAACAUCGAUAACAUUUUACAAUAAUGUGUCAUUUGUUAAUAUUAGUUAAUGUAUUAACUAACAUGAACAAACAAUGAUUAAUACAUUUAUUACAUUAUUUUUUAAUCUUUGUUAAAGCUAAUUCAUAAAAACACAGUCAUUCAUUGUUUGUUCAUGCUAGUUCACAGUGCAUUUACUACUGUUAACAAACACACCUUGUAAUUUUAAUAAUGCAUGGGUAAAUGCUAAAGUUAACAUUAACUACGAUUAAUAAAUGCAGUAGAAAUAUUGUUCAUUCUUAGUUCAUGUUAACUAAUGAACCUUAUU